GAUGAACGCUGGCGGCGUGCCUAAUACAUGCAAGUCGAGCGAACAGAUAAGGAGCUUGCUCCUUUGACGUUAGCGGCGGACGGGUGAGUAACACGUGGGUAACCUACCUAUAAGACUGGGAUAACUUCGGGAAACCGGAGCUAAUACCGGAUAACAUUUGGAACCGCAUGGUUCUAAAGUGAAAGAUGGUUUUGCUAUCACUUAUAGAUGGACCCGCGCCGUAUUAGCUAGUUGGUAAGGUAACGGCUUACCAAGGCAACGAUACGUAGCCGACCUGAGAGGGUGAUCGGCCACACUGGAACUGAGACACGGUCCAGACUCCUACGGGAGGCAGCAGUAGGGAAUCUUCCGCAAUGGGCGAAAGCCUGACGGAGCAACGCCGCGUGAGUGAUGAAGGUUUUCGGCUCGUAAAACUCUGUUAUUAGGGAAGAACAAACGUGUAAGUAACUGUGCACGUCUUGACGGUACCUAAUCAGAAAGCCACGGCUAACUACGUG
rnacentral:rRNA from 1 species